AGGAAUGCACGGUCCAUGUUUUUGUAUCUGAAUUUAUGCAAGUUGCAGAUCCAUAAACGCAUGGUGUCUUCCUGAGUUUGUUGUAUGCGAUUUGGCAUGCCCGCAACGAGUUCUUGUUUUGUUUGAUUGCACCAUCCAUGGAGCUGAUUUUGCACCACGCGGGCUCGCUGCGUCCGCUGUCGAGAAUGGCAUAUUCACUAGCUUAGCAACCUCCUUGGCACCCGGUCUCGUCCUCCUCCUGGACCUUCAAGAUAAAUUUUGACGCGGCGGUGACACGUUCAGGAGAUGCAUGCUUUGGCUUCAUUGCUCAGAAUUGUCGUGGUGAGGUCUUGAUUGCUGCCUGCGGUUGCAUUUAACCAGUCAUCUCCCCUUUGGUGGCGGAGACCCUUUGCAUGCGGUGGACUCUUGGAUAGUUGGAUUGGCUAGAGACCUUGGCUUCCGCACAGGAUUGUGCUUGAGACGGAUUGCCUUGUGUUGUUCGAGGCAUGGAAGCGUGGGGGGUGGUUGUUCUAUCUUGGAUUCUUUGCUUUUGGGUUGUCAUACUUUGCUUUCUUGUUUUGGUGUUUUCAGUUUUCUUUUUCUUCGUCGUUCCCAGAACUGUGUGGUUGAUGCUUUAGCUAAGCUUUUUUUUUAGUUUGGGUGAGGUGGUUUGGAUUGAGGAGGUUCCUCAUGAACUUAUUGACUUGGUCUAAUCUGAUGUAAUGACAUAUAUGCAUGACAUAUAUGCCCGUUUAUUUCUUCUUAAUUGAAUGAAU
rnacentral:lncRNA from 1 species